rnacentral:rRNA from 1 species
UACGUAGGGUGCGAGCGUUGUCCGGAAUCAUUGGGCGUAAAGAGCGCGUAGGCGGCCCAGUAAGUCCGCUCUGAAAGUCAGGGGCUCAACCCCUGGAUGCGGGUGGAUACUGCUGGGCUAGAGUCCGGAAGAGGUGAGUGGAAUUCCUGGUGUAGCGGUGAAAUGCGCAGAUAUCAGGAGGAACACCGGUGGCGAAGGCGGUUCUCUGGGCCUUACCUGACGCUGAGGAGCGAAAGCGUGGGGAGCGAACAGG